rnacentral:ncRNA from 2 species
GACGUAGCGUCGGGAUACGGUGCCACAUCUGUGGCUUGAAAGGGAAUCGGGUGAAAGACCCGUACUGCCCCCGCAACUGUAAGCGGUGAGUGCAAAGGCGAAACCACUGGCCAGAUGGCUGGGAAGGGCCCGCGCGCAUCGACCCGCAAGUCAGGAGACCUGCCGUAAAACCGGGGCCUUG